rnacentral:rRNA from 1 species
GACGAACCGUGCGAACGUUAUUCGGAAUCACUGGGCUUAAAGCGCGUGUAGGCGGGCCCGCACGUCGGUGCUGAAAGCCCCCGGCUCAACCGGGGAACGGGCGCCGAUACGACCGGCCUGGAGGGGCGUAGGGGGACCGGGAACUUCCUGUGGAGCGGUGAAAUGCGUUGAGAUCGGAAGGAACGCCCGUGGCGAAAGCGCGGUCCUGGACGCCUACUGACGCUGAGACGCGAAAGCCAGGGGAGCGAACGGG